rnacentral:Y_RNA from 1 species
GGUUGGUCCGAGUGCAGUGGUGUUUACAACUAAUUGAUCACAACCAGUUACAGAUGCGUUUGUUCCUUCUCCACUCCCACUGCUUCACUUGACCAGCCUUUA